CUCCCUGAUAUCAGCGGCGGACGGGUGAGUAACACGUGGGUAACCUGCCUGUAAGACUGGGAUAACUCCGGGAAACCGGGGCUAAUACCGGAUAACUCAUUUCCUCGCAUGAGGAAAUGUUGAAAGGUGGCUUUUAGCUACCACUUACAGAUGGACCCGCGGCGCAUUAGCUAGUUGGUGAGGUAACGGCUCACCAAGGCGACGAUGCGUAGCCGACCUGAGAGGGUGAUCGGCCACACUGGGACUGAGACACGGCCCAGACUCCUACGGGAGGCAGCAGUAGGGAAUCUUCCGCAAUGGACGAAAGUCUGACGGAGCAACGCCGCGUGAGUGAUGAAGGUUUUCGGAUCGUAAAGCUCUGUUGUUAGGGAAGAACAAGUGCCGUUCGAAUAGGGCGGCACCUUGACGGUACCUAACCAGAAAGCCACGGCUAACUACGUGCCAGCAGCCGCG
rnacentral:rRNA from 2 species